GUUCAAAGCAGUUUCCUGGCCUCCACAUUUUCCUGCCCAUGUUCUCCCCAAUUCAUGCUAUGUGGCGGUUCUUAGCAGUUUUGAAGGCUAAGCGCUUAAGUUCAUCCUUAUAAACCCCCCUUCUACCUCAUGAAUCUGCGUCCUCUGGCUCCUUCUUCCCAUUUAACUAAUCUUUUUUCUCUCAUCCAAGCAUCUCAACAUCAUCUGGUAUCCAUUGCCCAAAUUUGAAAAAUUAGGAACUACCAGUGUUCACUGCCGCUACCAUGGUUUACGAUUACGAGAAGUGAGCACCGCGAUACGACCACAAUAUGGUAAUUCGUUCUCUCCGGAGUCCGGUCUUGGUUGUUCUCCUGCCAUGGCUUGGAACACAGUCAAUCUCUCUCACUCUUGGGCUUUCUGAAUCAAAACAAGUCGUCUGCGAUGCUGCUAAGAUCCAUGGUGUUUCUGAUCUUCAAUUCAAUUCAUCCAAUGAAGGAAUUUGGGUUGAGAAUAGGAUCAGAUGAAUCACCGAAGAUUUUUUUUGUGUGUAACCGCGGAAUCUGAAGCUGGAGUGGCACAUAUAGUAUUAACUGGUAUGCAUCAAAUCAUACUCGCCUUUUGAUGGUCUUGUCUUCGAUUUCGAUGAUGCUUUGAACACUUCAAGCAUUGGAUUCGGUGAUCCCACUGGGCGUAACAUCAACGAGACAUAUCAAGAUAAGAGGCUAAAGCAUAGUGGCUGGACUGACGGAGUAUUAGUAAAAGUAAAUCAGAAGAUAAUAUCAUAUUGUAAUUUAUUUGGAAAUUUAUGUCUUUUUUGUGUAUCAAACGAGCUACAAAGAUUGCAUUAUCAAUGUAGACACCAUGUUCAAUUUUCAGUUUUUGUUCUUCCAAAAUAAUGUUCAGAAAUCAUAUGUGCUGGCAAUAUUUUUGGUUCAUAGAUAAAUAUCUAAUUUCAAUAUGGGGAAACAUCACUGAAGAUUACGAAGUUGUAUGCAUUAAAAAUACACGUGGAAAACUUUUGACCCCCUUUGGCCCGUAUCAUUUGUAGAUUUUCUGUAGCUUAGAAAGGGAUGUGCAUUUGAUGGGUGGAAAGAAGGUGCUUUAACUUUCCACCAACUUACAAAUACGAGCCAAAAUUAUAUAAAUACUAUGGCUAGGAUCCUAAAGUUGGUAGGCGUACUCCCGCAUGGUUGCAUUGAUAGUAAUAGCUGAUGGGUUCACAUGCUGAAAUACGAUAUCUGUGGAGCCGAAGCCAGUAAAGAAAGGCUCACAGUUUAACCUCGACAACGAUCUAUUUCUCCCUAAAGAAAGGAAAGACAUCAUCGUGUCAACUGUGUGUUGAAGUGCCAUGGCUGCUUAGCAAUAAAGCUAAAACAAUUAUGGCAUCCCUUAUUGGGCCAGUUAAAAAAAUUAUCUUCUUUAAAAAAUUAUGGCAUCCCUUAUUGUGAUAAGAUGAUAUUGCAAGUCAUAUGUGAUGAAAUAGUUAACUCGAGAUAGCCACAUACAUAAGAAAGUGACGUGACGUAUAGUUUGGAUCUCUAUAGCGGGAUCACGGGUUGUUCAUACACAACGGGAUUACAAACAGUAGUUAUUAAGCAUUGUAUAUCUAGAGUUGUGACGGAUUUAUUUACGAGACUGACAUGAUAUGUGGAUGGAACAGAUGAAGAAUUUAGAAAGCACAGUUGAGAGAGUGAAGGGGUUGCUAGAAGCAAGGAUAAAAAGGAAGACGGACACACGUGAGAGCAAAGGGUUUAGAGGGUUGUAAGCUAUAACACUCUGCUUUAUAUAUUUGAUUAAUUUAAGUGUUGACCGCAAAAUUUGUAAAAUAAAAAGGUUUCUUAAACAUUUAUAUCUUUUUCUCUC